rnacentral:misc_RNA from 1 species
GAAAUGCGAUAAGUAAUGUGAAUUGCAGAAUUCAGUGAAUCAUCGAAUCUUUGAACGCACAUUGCGCCCGCCAGUAUUCUGGCGGGCAUGCCUGUUCGAGCGUCAUUUCAACCCUCAGGCCCCUCCGGGCGGCCUGGUGUUGGGGACCGGCGGACGGGGAUAUAGGGGCGCUUCUCUCCCGGAGAGCGCCCUGCGUCCCCCUCUUCCCGCCGCCCCCGAAAUGAAUUGGCGGUCUCGUCGCGGCCUCCUCUGCGUAGUAGCACAACCUCGCAACAGGACCGCGGCGCGGCCACUGCCGUAAAACGCACCAAACUUUUACAGAGUUGACCUCGAAUCAGGUAGGAAUACCCGCUGAACUUAA